rnacentral:misc_RNA from 1 species
CUAAGGAAGCUGUGGAAUUGGAAGACGGCAUCUUCGGAUGCAUGACCUUUCCCGUGCUUUUUAGAACAUAGAUGGCGCCAGUCAGGCGACCAUCGAAACGCAAUACGCCGCAUAGGUGCUUGCACCAUGACGGUAUGGCGAGUGCCGCCGUCCACGUUUCUCUUUCUCACAAAGACAAGGACCACGCUGUUUUGGCUGUAGUUCACCCCGUAUGGGCCCGUAGCUCAGGUGGUUAGAGCGCACGCCUGAUAAGCGUGAGGUCGGCAGUUCGAGUCUGCCCGGGCCCACCAUUCGCUAGGGCUCAUGGCGGGCCCGGGCAGUCUCUUGGUUUUGUCCGUCCUCGUGAUCUGAAGAUCACUGCGGGCGAACGGGCCGGGCCCUGCGGAGCUUCCGUUUGGGUAUCGAAACCUCAAAUGGGGCUGUAGCUCAGCUGGGAGAGCACCUGCUUUGCAAGCAGGGGGUCAGCGGUUCGAUCCCGCUCAGCUCCACCAAAGGUUUUGGUGUUGAUUGCUGACGGAUCUGUUUCUUGUCUUUGGGGAAAAUAAGUUUGCAUCGUCUCGAAUGAGACUGAUGCCUGUUCUGCUAAAAUUGUGAAGAGAAGAUAUGUCUGGAUACGAACUUCGGUUCGUUUGUCCUGAGGCAUGAUCGUUGUUGGGGUGUUCUUCGGAAUGCGCUUCUGACGGUUUUGCUGGAUUGGUGUUGCCUGACCGCGCAUCACCGGACAGAUCUCGAGAAGCUGGUCUUAAGAUAUGGCCUCGGAAUUGCUCGGCGUAAUUCCAGUGAGGACCAUAUCGAACACGUCGAUGGCAUCUGACUGGCCCGGUUGUAAAAGGUAACCGGGCUUUUGGGCUGGCGGUGCGGCACGCUGAAAGGUGUCCGUAUGGCCAGGUUUGGCACCCCUCCGAGCGAUGAGCGAGGAGGAAAGGUUUGCCAAAGCCAAAUAAGGAUGAGCAUUGGCAAUGAGAAC